AAAAAGGAAGAAAUAAGGGAGGGCAGAAAGGAAGGAAAAUUUAAAGAUGAAAAAGUCAAUUACUCUUCCCACACUUGCUCACCCUUGGACUUACUGCAUUAAUAUCAGCUUAGCAAUAUCUACUUGUCGGGUAUAGGCUGUGUACAGAGCACUAUGUGAGAGAGUAAAAAAGAAAAUACAUCAUCCCAGGAUUUGAGUCACUAACUCAGCUCUGCUCUCUUCUACAACCCCAUGAAAGAUGGUAACUCCAUCUGUCCUGCAAACUUUCAGCCGACUUCAUUACAAAAAUAC